AACAGAGACACCUGGGGCAGGCAGCAAGCCAUGAGGAUCCCCCUGUCUCCUCUCCACAUCCAGGCCCAGCACUGGCAAGGAGGAAAGCACAAGGCACUGCCCUCAGACCCCUGCCCACCUGCAAGUUGCGGUCUAUGAGCUGUUUGCAAAGCCAAGGAGGUCAGACAGGCCUGGUCUGGAGCCAACUCACUUCCAGGAGCAGACAGAGAGCAAUGUCAUCACGGAUCCGCCCAUCCCUCCGGGCCUGGGCGGCCAGGGCCAGAAGGAACCAGAUCACAACUCCUGAGGACAGAAGAUCCAACUCUUGCCCAAACCUACUAUACUACCCGCUGGGGUCUUGCUGACAGCUGCUCUCCCAAGGCCCCGGGUACUGCCACCUCCCAGUGACACCGGCCUACCUGCUCUGGGCAGCGGCCCGCGCUGAGGAAGCAGAACUGGACUAGCCCACACACCGCAUGCACUUAAAUAUCUGCUGGACCCAUAAAGCUUAGCUGGCCUGAGGUUGUCAUUGAUGGAUUGAGGCUGUCACCCAGCUUCCCCUGGUCCUGGGAACUAGAUGUGUCUCCCUACCCCUGCAGGGCUGGGCUAGGCUUUGGGUGGCAGAAGUGCCAUCUGCACUGACCCUACAACUCACACACAUGACGUCAUGUCCUUGAAACCAGGUUGGCUGGGAUUACUGUCCCACGCUCCAGGUGAGAAGACAGACGCAUGAUGAUAAAUUGUUAUAAUCCUAACAGCUACUGAUCACAGAGCACUGACUGAGGACACUGUGCCAAAGGCACUGCUAUAUCAGCGUCUCAUGGAAUCCUCAUCUCAACUCCAUGGGGCAGGAAACAUCCCCAUUUACAGAUGAGGCUCCAAGAGGUAAAUGACCUUGUUCAAGGUCAUCGAAGGCAGGAUUCGAAGCCUGAGUUGAUGGACUUGGUGGGUGGAGCUUGUAAAUAAAACAGCCAGUUAUUUUACCAGCAAAA